UACAGAGGUCUCAAGCGUUGUUCGGAUUCAUUGGGCGUAAAGGGUGCGUAGGCGGCGCGGUAAGUCGGGUGUGAAAUCUCGGAGCUUAACUCCGAAACUGCAUUCGAUACUGCCGUGCUUGAGGACUGGAGAGGAGACUGGAAUUUACGGUGUAGCAGUGAAAUGCGUAGAUAUCGUAAGGAAGACCAGUGGCGAAGGCGGGUCUCUGGACAGUUCCUGACGCUGAUGCGCGAAAGCCAGGGGAGCGAACGGG
rnacentral:rRNA from 1 species